AGCGAGUGGCGAACGGGUGAGUAACGCGUGAGGAACCUGCCUCAAAGAGGGGGACAACAGUUGGAAACGACUGCUAAUACCGCAUAAGCCCACGGCUCGGCAUCGAGCAGAGGGAAAAGGAGUGAUCCGCUUUGAGAUGGCCUCGCGUCCGAUUAGCUAGUUGGUGAGGUAACGGCCCACCAAGGCAACGAUCGGUAGCCGGACUGAGAGGUUGAACGGCCACAUUGGGACUGAGACACGGCCCAAACUCCUACGGGAGGCAGCAGUGGGGAAUAUUGCACAAUGGGGGAAACCCUGAUGCAGCGACGCCGCGUGAGCGAAGAAGUAUUUCGGUAUGUAAAGCUCUAUCAGCAGGGAAGAAAAUGACGGUACCUGACUAAGAAGCCCCGGCUAACUACGUG
rnacentral:rRNA from 1 species